GCUAAAAAUAUUCAUGUGAACUUUUGAUACCUUUUCUAAAAUUCUCCUGUCAUUAAAUCUUUUACAAAAUUCAUUGAUUACAAAAAAAAAAGAAGAUGUGGUAUGAUUGCCAUGUUGAGACAACUCUUCACAAGAGACCAAUAUGACACAGAAAUUAACAACUAUAGGUCACCGUACGACCUUCAACAACGAGCAAAGCCCAUACCCCAUACUCAGCUUUAAAAGGCCCCGAACUGACAAUGUAAAACAAUUCAAACCAGAAAACAAGCGGCCUUAUUUAUGCACAAAAAAAUGAACGAAAAACGAAUAUGUAACACAUAAACAAACGACAACCACUGAAUUACAGGAUCCUUACUUAAAUGUUCAUAACAUACUAAAUGUAUGUUCAUAUUGAAAUUGAUAGAAAACCAAAAAUUGGGAAUUUUGGAAAUAAUGACCUAUGACUUAUGAUACUUUUGCUGAAAUUCUCGAGUCAUUCAAUAUUUUACAAAAUUCUUC
rnacentral:lncRNA from 1 species